GCGCAGCAGUCGAGAAACUUUACAAUGCGGGAAACCGCGAUAAGGGGACACCGAGUGCCAGCGUAUUAUGUUGGCUGUCCACAUGUGUAAACGGCAUGUGUUAGCAAGGGCCGGGCAAGACCGGUGCCAGCCGCCGCGGUAACACCGGCGGCCCGAGUGGUAAUCACUUUUAUUGGGUCUAAAGGGUCCGUAGCCGGUUUGAUCAGUUCUUCGGGAAAUCUGACAGCUCAACUGUUAGGCUUCCGGGGAAUACUGUCAGACUUGGGGACCGGGAGAGGUAAGAGGUACUACAGGGGUAGGAGUGAAAUCUUGUAAUCCCUGUGGGACCACCAGUGGCGAAGGCGUCUUACCAGAACGGGUCCGACGGUGAGGGACGAAAGCUGGGGGCACGAACCGGAUUAGAUACCCCCGUAGU
rnacentral:rRNA from 1 species